GGCCUGGUGGUGUAAUGGUAACACCCCUGUUUCUAUAGCCAGGAAAAUUCAUACGACAGGAGAUCCUUAUUCGAAUCAAGGUCAGGCUG